UGGGGAAUAUUGCACAAUGGGCGCAAGCCUGAUGCAGCCAUGCCGCGUGUGUGAAGAAGGCCUUCGGGUUGUAAAGCACUUUCAGCGAGGAGGAAGGUGGUGGACUUAAUACGUUCAUCAAUUGACGUUACUCGCAGAAGAAGCACCGGCUAACUCCGUGCCAGCAGCCGCGGUAAUACGGAGGGUGCAAGCGUUAAUCGGAAUUACUGGGCGUAAAGCGCACGCAGGCGGUUUGUUAAGUCAGAUGUGAAAUCCCCGGGCUCAACCUGGGAACUGCAUUUGAAACUGGCAAGCUAGAGUCUCGUAGAGGGGGGUAGAAUUCCAGGUGUAGCGGUGAAAUGCGUAGAGAUCUGGAGGAAUACCGGUGGCGAAGGCGGCCCCCCUGGACGAAGACUGACGCUCAGGUGCGAAAGCGUGGGGAGCAAACAGAUUAGAUACCCUGGUAGUCCACGCUGUAAACGAUGUCGAUUUUGGAGGUUGUGCCCUUGAGGCGUGGCUUCCGGAGCUAACGCGUUAAAUCGACCGCCU
rnacentral:rRNA from 1 species